rnacentral:rRNA from 1 species
CCCUUAGAUGUUCUGGGCCGCACGCGCGCUACAAUGGUCUUCGCAAACGGAUGCAUUCUCGAAGGAGAAUGCCAAUCUUGGAAUCUAUGCCUUGGUCGGGACAGUUGCUUGCAAUUUUUCGACUCGAACCAGGAAUUCCUUGUAAUCGUGAUUCAUCACAUCACGAUGAAUACGUCCCUGCCCUUUGUACACACCGCCCGUCGCUCCUACCGAUCGAAGAGUUAGGUGAAUUGUUUUGAUCGAUAAGAUUUGACUAUGAUCAACUCUCGUUGUGAAAUUCUGUGAAUCUGACUGUUUAGAGGAAGGAAAAGUCGUAACA